GUGCCAGCCGCCGCGGUAAUACCGGCAGCCCGAGUGAUGGCCGAUAUUAUUGGGCCUAAAGCGUUCGUAGCCGGCCAGACAAGUCUGUUGGGAAAUCCACGCGCUCAACGCGUGGGCGUCCAGCGGAAACUGUCUGGCUUGGGGCCGGAGGACUCGAGGGGUACGUCCGGGGUAGGAGUGAAAUCCUGUAAUCCUGGACGGACCGCCGGUGGCGAAAGCGCCUCGGGAAGACGGAUCCGACAGUGAGGGACGAAAGCCAGGGUCUCCAACCGGAUUAGAUACCCCAGUAGUCC
rnacentral:rRNA from 1 species